UGAAGGAACCAACAAAAUCAAUAUGUCGGGAGACUCCAGUGAUCAUUAGAAUAAAGUUAAGACAUCAAAGCUAAUGUAGUUCAUGAAAUUGAAAAAAAAAAGUGGGCACUAAUUUGGGGUCCCUAGAUUUCCCGACAUACUCAAAUUCUCGUAGAUAUCUAUAUCGACUUUAAUGAUGAUCUAUGUACAAGAACACAUCUUCACACACAACCCAUUAUUAAACACCAAUUUAAUGUCAGCAAUUCUUUUCAGAAAUACAAGAGGGAUUGACAGAGUCACCAAGGGGUACCCUGAGCACUUUUACAUCAAGGAGCUUGAACAUUGAAGACCUGAAGAUGUUAUAUUACAGCUAAACUCCAUUUCACUUUCGGCUACUAUGAUUGAUCCAUUGAAACAAUGAUAGACAUGUAUUUUAAUUCUUUAAUAAACUAAUAGAGCUAGUCCAAAAGCUUCUUAUUCUAGUCCCGCAUAGGGUUCUAUAGAGAUUUCCAAUAGGUUCAUCACUUUUGAGAUACUUGUAGUCAUCUUCAAGCUAUCUAAAAUGCAAAUGCAUAUUGCAAAGAACUAGUGAAGGUUUCAGAUUUGUUUCCUCUUAAAUUAUCUGGUUAUCUAUUCUUUGGGCGUUGGGUAUCUGAAGAGAGGGAUUUCUUAGAUUAAAGACCUUUGCUCCAUUUCUUACAAGACUCAUUGAAAAACAUUUCUAAAUUAGCUCAAGUAAAUAUAUAUGAUAAAUCAAUCUAAUUCUCUAAAGCUGACACCACAGCAAUCGAUCCAUAUCAAAAUUCAUGGAUUCUUGCUCAGGGCUUCACUUGGUUUCUUAAUGCCACUAGGGGUGGUCAUUAUCAGAAUGACAGAGAGUGCCAAAUCAAUUAAAAUGAUCAAGGUUUUGUUCUACACUCAUGUAGCUGUUCAGGUCGGUAAACUCUAGUUUGUUCUUGCUACAAACUGCGACUAUUCAGGAUUACAAGUCCUCAAUACAAACUCUUCUA